GAAAUGCGAUAAGUAAUGUGAAUUGCAGAAUUCAGUGAAUCAUCGAAUCUUUGAACGCACAUUGCGCCCGCCAGUAUUCUGGCGGGCAUGCCUGUCCGAGCGUCAUUUCAACCAUCAAGCCCCCGGGCUUGUGUUGGGGACCUGCGGUUGCCCGCAGGCCCUGAAAACCAGUGGCGGGCUCGCUGUCACACCGAGCGUAGUAGCAAUCACCUCGCUCAGGGCGUGCUGCGGGUUCCGGCCGUUAAACAGCCUUACAAAACCCAAGGUUGACCUCGGAUCAGGUAGGAAGACCCUCUGAACUUAAGC
rnacentral:misc_RNA from 1 species